rnacentral:rRNA from 1 species
AUUGAACGCUGGCGGCAGGCCUAACACAUGCAAGUCGAGCGGAUGAGUGGAGCUUGCUCCAUGAUUCAGCGGCGGACGGGUGAGUAAUGCCUAGGAAUCUGCCUGGUAGUGGGGGACAACGUUUCGAAAGGAACGCUAAUACCGCAUACGUCCUACGGGAGAAAGUGGGGGAUCUUCGGACCUCACGCUAUCAGAUGAGCCUAGGUCGGAUUAGCUAGUUGGUGAGGUAAAGGCUCACCAAGGCGACGAUCCGUAACUGGUCUGAGAGGAUGAUCAGUCACACUGGAACUGAGACACGGUCCAGACUCCUACGGGAGGCAGCAGUGGGGAAUAUUGGACAAUGGGCGAAAGCCUGAUCCAGCCAUGCCGCGUGUGUGAAGAAGGUCUUCGGAUUGUAAAGCACUUUAAGUUGGGAGGAAGGGCAGUAAGUUAAUACCUUGCUGUUUUGACGUUACCAACAGAAUAAGCACCGGCUAACUUCGUGCCAGCCGCCGCAGUAACAC